rnacentral:rRNA from 1 species
UACAGAGGUCUCAAGCGUUGUUCGGAUUCAUUGGGCGUAAAGGGUGCGUAGGUGGCGCUGUAAGUCGGGUGUGAAAUUUCGGAGCUUAACUCCGAAACUGCAUUCGAUACUGCGGUGCUUGAGGACCUGAGAGGAGACUGGAAUUCAUGGUGUAGCAGUGAAAUGCGUAGAGAUCAUGAGGAAGACCAGUGGCGAAGGCGGGUCUCUGGACAGUUCCUGACACUGAGGCACGAAGGCCAGGGGAGCAAACGGG